UACGUAGGGACCGAGCGUUGUCCGGAAUCAUUGGGCGUAAAGAGCGUGUAGGCGGCUAUUUAAGUCCUGCGUGAAAUCCUGCGGCUCAACCGCAGACGGUCGUGGGAAACUGGAUGGCUAGAGUGCGGGAGAGGAGAGUGGAAUUCCCGGUGUAGCGGUGAAAUGCGCAGAUAUCGGGAAGAACACCCGUGGCGAAGGCGGCUCUCUGGAACGCAACUGACGGUGAGACGCGAAAGCGUGGGGAGCAAACAGG
rnacentral:rRNA from 1 species